CAGCGUAGGUUCCAGGGACACAACGGGACAGGACGGAGCCUGGUAGGAGAAAACAGAGCGAAAACGCCACGCGGACAAGAAGGCAAAGGGGCGCGAGGACAAAUGGGACUGAGACCAGGCGUUGUCCAGCUGCGCAAACGGAUUCAGAAGAAAGAAGGCAUUGCAGCUGAGAACCGCGGACAAAAGCGCAGGAACGAGACAGCUUGGAACCGUGCUUUCUAGCCGAGAAGGGCGCUCGGGACGGGAAAAACGACGGAGACAGGAGAGGCGACUGUGAAAAAAGGGGGGAGGCGAGGGGCGACGACGCGGUAAAACGAGAGAAUCAGACGAUCGCAGAGGUCUGAGGGCAUGUCAAUCUGAAUACGGUAAACACACGAGACCCAAUCGAGCAGGUGGAUCAAAAACAAAGGAAACUGCACGGCAUCAAAAACAGAAGACCAGGAGCGUACACCCGGUGAAGGAGCCUCAGGUGAUGGCGUCUCUGCAAACGGGCAGAGCGGCACGCCGGGUGUACGCACACCCGAGACGUCGGGCGGUGGCGAAUGCGCUCUCUCCGCAGGGAAUCUCCCUAUAGCCGCGCGUCCCUCCGUCCCUUCAAUUUCUCGGUUGUGUUUGGGAAAACCCUCCUGAUACACCGCGAAGAGGCGAAGAGUGUGUCCACCUGCAGCCUGCGGUGUCGAGGGGAAAAUGCGAGCAGCGUUCCAUCGGCAGUCCUCCAACCUCGCCGGUCUGUCGCACAUCUGAAGGCGGAACUAGGAAAACAAAGCCAAGCCUUAAUCGGCAUUUGAGCGACCUCGCGGAAAGUCCGGUUCACUGGAUCGAUCCUGACGGUGCGGAGUAGCUAGAGGCCGCUAUUGCCCGCUUCUCCGCAGUCCUCCUAGAUGGAGGGAAAAGCGAGGAACCCCCACUCCGCUUGACGCGUGAGAAACGCGGAAGCAGAAAUAUGAGGACGCACACCAGGCGAAAAGCGGUCUGCAGAGGCUCGCAGGAG
rnacentral:lncRNA from 1 species